GGGGCCCUCCCCCCCACUCACCUCCCUCCCCAACUCGGUCUCUGAAAGGAGAGGGUUUGUUUUCCCUCAUAAGAGUCCACUUGCUGACACACCUCGGGAAGAAGCCGCAGCAGACAGAGAGAAUGGACGGGGCCACACUCCUAAACCCAGAGCUGAGUUCCACUCCCGGGAGCUGAGGUUCGGACACGGAGGCCAACUGCCCUCUUUGGGUAGUUUACUUAGAGCCUUUUCUAAAUAACAGCCAGCAUUCUAGGCUCGGAGACGUUUGCUAUCGCAGUACUUACCAAUGAAUUCUACAAGAUUCUUCAAA